AACGUAGGAGGCAAGCGUUAUCCGGAGUUACUGGGCGUAAAGCGUGCGUAGGCGGGUCGGUAAGUGGGUGGUGAAAGCGCCGGGCUAAACCGGGCGAGGUCCAUUCAGACUGUCGACCUAGAGGCGGAUAGAGGGGUGCGGAAUUCCGGGUGUAGCGGUGAAAUGUGUAGAGAUCCGGAGGAACACCAGUGGUGCAAACGGCGCCCUGGGUCCGAACUGACGCUGAGGCACGAAAGCGUGGGGAGCGAACGGG
rnacentral:rRNA from 1 species